rnacentral:tRNA from 1 species
UCCCUGGAGGACUAGCGGUUAGGCCACAGAGCUCUCACUGCUGUGGCCCGGGUUCUAUCCCUGGCCAGGGAA